GUAGAUUAUUGGCUUUUACCAGAGGCCAUGGAAAAAUCUGAAAUGGGAAAAAAUGCUCGAGCUUUACAAGGCAAUAAGCACAACAGUGGUGCUACAAGCUUUGCUAAUCGAAGAGUUGAUAUGAAAGAGAAGAAAGGAGUGUUUAGCGAAUUGGCAUUUUUCAAAUCAGUUUACGCCAAAGAAGAUGGAAGCUUUAAAGAGGGCACACUUCCUCAUCAAUUUGUGGUAUCAUUGCAUUGAGCUAAUUCUAUAAAUCAAUCUUGUCUCUUGAAGUCUAUUUUUUUUUUUCUUUGCUUGUACAUAGUAUUCUUGGUUAAUAGAUUUUGAGUGAUCUUUUCAUAUU